UACGUAGGUGGCGAGCGUUGUCCGGAUUUACUGGGCGUAAGGGCGUGCAGGCGGUUUGUUAAGUGCAGGGUGAAAGCUCCCGGCUCAACUGGGAGAGGUCCUUGCAUACUGGCGAACUCGAGGGAGGCAGAGGAAAGUGGAAUUCCCGGUGUGGUGGUGAUAUGCGUAGAUAUCGGGAGGAACACCUGUGGCGAAGGCGGCUUUCUGGGCCUUACCUGACGCUGAGACGCGAAAGCGUGGGGAGCGAACCGG
rnacentral:rRNA from 1 species